rnacentral:lncRNA from 1 species
CGCCACCGACCGCCCGCCUAGCCGAGAGGAGGGAAGGGGCGUGGCCUGCACUUAAAGGGGCCGCGGCCCGCCUGGGCGAUCAGCUCUCCGAGUCUCGCGUCGUGAGCGCUGCCUGAAGCAGUGAGAUGCACGAGGGUUGGCUAUUCACUCUGGGGGUCUCCGCCGCUGAACUCUCCUGAAUGACUGACUGGAGGAAACUGGCCCUGGAGGGAGAGCACCUGAGGGGCUCUCCAGUGGGGCUUGUAAAGGAGUGGCUUAAAUGACUUUUCUUGAAAGCAGAGGAAACGCAUUGAAGGAAACCAGUGGCAUAGCUAACGGCCCUUCCUUCUGGAGUUGUCCUGGUUUUAAAUGUCUUGUCGCCUGGUCCACACAGUCGCAUGGAGACAGGAAGAGGAAAGUCUCGAGUGUCCUCUCGCCCUGCUCAGUUUUCAGUGUGUGAGGCCCUUCGUGGUAAGCAUCUAUUGGGAGCCCGCUCAGACCCGUCUUGCGCAAUCCGUUUGCUCAGUAAUGACAUUCACCCAGAGGCCAGAAAAACCCUGAAGGAGUCGGGAAGCUGGGUGUCGUCAUUCUUCCAGCUGCCACUUCAACACCAAGAACUCCUCUCUCCUCGUCUAAGAGGUUCUACUCCUGCUGCACAGCAUCUUCGUUUCCACCUGACCUGACUGAUGGAAAAACUCAAGCAAAGCAGUUUUUUUGUUUGUUUUUUUUGUUUUUUUUUUUUUGUUUUUUAGUGAAUGACCGAGUUGAAACACCUUGGUACUCUCUUUGUAUUCUUUUCCCAUUAUAAUCCUUAAUCUGCCCAAAGUGAUUAAGUACCCGAGUGGGUUGCCAUUUCCUUUUCCAAUCUGCCCAAACUUCCCCAAAUCCUUUCCUGACUUCCAGCUUCCACAGGGGAGAGCUUGGUAGUGGCCUCCACUAGCAUCUCAGAUGGAGAAUACCGAAUAGAAAGGCAACAGUAUGUUAAUCUUUAAAAAAUCAUAUGUGUUCUGUGUGUUGCAGCAUGUUAGAAAAGUAUUUGGUUCUUGACAUAAUGCUAUAACCCCAGAAAUGAAAUUGGGACUACAGAGACAGUGGAAGAGGCCAGAGAAGGUAAAUUAGUUCCAAAGAUGAUUAGUGGUUAUUUGGGCAGGGGGAGAGGGGGGGAGAUACUUUUAAGAGGAAAAGGUUAAGAUAAAGGUUAAGAUAAUAACUCAGUUCAAUUAGUUUGGGACUCGGAAUUAGUUUUGGACUCUUUUCAGUGACUUUCUAUUCCCUUCGGGUAACGCUGAAAGUCCUUAGCAUAGGCCUUUCAUAUCCUGCUUUGAUUACCUGUCUAGUCUUCCCUCUCUCCUUUCUCCUUUGCACUCCUUACUCCAGCCACACUAAACUAACACACUGACUGAAUUGGCGCCUAUAAUUCUGUGCUCUCUCUGGUCUCUAGGGCUUAGUCUAAGCCAAGCUUGGAAUACUCUCCCCACGUUCUUCAUCUUGCUAAAUUCUGCUUGUUUUCCAGAUUAUUUCAUUCUGGAAAAUUGGUUGUCAUCACCUGUUUUGGGGUUAGGUGCCAUUUUUUUUUUUAUAUUUCUCUUGUCACCUUGAGCUUCCUUCCUUAUUGUAGCAAACAUCACAAUACAUUUUGAUUUCCUCUUUAUUUCUCAUUCUCUCCUCCUAAACUAUAAUUCCCUUGAAGGUAGGAUUCAUGCAUAUUUUGUUCAUAGAUGUAUCCUUAAUCCUGUUAGUCUUGUGUAUAGUGGGUGUUCAAUAAAUAUUUAUUGAAGAAUGAAUUAAUUGUGCUA